AUGAACGCUGGCGGCGUGCCUAAUACAUGCAAGUCGAGCGAACAGACGAGGAGCUUGCUCCUCUGACGUUAGCGGCGGACGGGUGAGUAACACGUGGAUAACCUACCUAUAAGACUGGGAUAACUUCGGGAAACCGGAGCUAAUACCGGAUAAUAUAUUGAACCGCAUGGUUCAAUAGUGAAAGACGGUUUUGCUGUCACUUAUAGAUGGAUCCGCGCCGCAUUAGCUAGUUGGUAAGGUAACGGCUUACCAAGGCAACGAUGCGUAGCCGACCUGAGAGGGUGAUCGGCCACACUGGAAGUGGGACACGGUCCAGACUCCUACGGGAGGGAGCAGUAGGGAAUCUUCCGCAAUGGGCGAAAGCCUGACGGAGCAACGCCACGUGAGUGAUGAAGGUCUUCGGAUCGUAAAACUCUGUUAUUAGGGAAGAACAAAUGUGUAAGUAACUAUGCACGUCUUGACGGUACCUAAUCAGAAAGCCACGGCUAACUACGUG
rnacentral:rRNA from 1 species